CUCCUACGGGAGGCAGCAGUGAGGAAUAUUGGUCAAUGGGCGCAAGCCUGAACCACCCAUCCCGCGUGAAGGAAGACGGCCCUACGGGUUGUAAACUUCUUUUGUGCACCAAGAAUAGCUUCUACGCGUAGAAGUAUGACAGUGGUGCAUGAAUAAGCAUCGGCUAACUCCGUGCCAGCAGCCGCGGUAAUACGGAGGAUGCGAGCGUUAUCCGGAUUUAUUGGGUUUAAAGGGUACGUAGGUGGCCUGUUAAGUCAGUGGUGAAAACCUGCCGCUCAACGGUAGGCGUGCCAUUGAAACUGACAGGCUUGAGUACAGAUGAGGUAAGCGGAAUGUGUAGUGUAGCGGUGAAAUGCAUAGAUAUUACACAGAACUCCGAUUGCGAAGGCAGCUUACUAAACUGAUACUGACACUGAGGUACGAAAGCGUGGGUAGCGAACAGGAUUAGAUACCCGGGUAGUCCACGCCGUAAACGAUGCUCACUCGCUGUUUGCGAUAUACAGUAAGCGGCCAAGCGAAAGCGCUAAGUGAGCCACCUGGGGAGUACGCCGGCAACGGUGAAACUCAAAGGAAUUGACGGGGGCCCGCACAAGCGGAGGAACAUGUGGUUUAAUUCGAUGAUACGCGAGGAACCUUACCUGGGCUUAAAUGGGGACUGACAGAUCUGGAAACAGGUUUUUCUUCGGACAGUCUUCAAGGUGCUGCAUGGUUGUCGUCAGCUCGUGCCGUGAGGUGUCGGGUUAAGUCCCAUAACGAGCGCAACCCCUACCGUUAGUUACCAUCAGGUAAAGCUGGGGACUCUAACGGGACUGCCACCGUAAGGUGCGAGGAAGGUGGGGAUGACGUCAAAUCAGCACGGCCCUUAUGUCCAGGGCUACACACGUGUUACAAUGGCCGGUACAGCGGGCAGCUACUAUGCAAAUAGAUGCGAAUCCCGAAAGCCGGUCUCAGUUCGGAUCGAAGUCUGCAACCCGGCUUCGUGAAGCUGGAUUCGCUAGUAAUCGCGCAUCAGCCAUGGCGCGGUGAAUACGUUCCCGGGCCUUGCACACACCGCCCGU
rnacentral:rRNA from 1 species